UCCGUAGGUGAACCUGCGGAAGGAUCAUUAAAGAGUAAGGGUGCUCAGCGCCCGACCUCCAACCCUUUGUUGUUAAAACUACCUUGUUGCUUUGGCGGGACCGCUCGGUCUCGAGCCGCUGGGGAUUCGUCCCAGGCGAGCGCCCGCCAGAGUUAAACCAAACUCUUGUUAUUAAACCGGUCGUCUGAGUUAAAAUUUUGAAUAAAUCAAAACUUUCAACAACGGAUCUCUUGGUUCUCGCAUCGAUGAAGAACGCAGCGAAAUGCGAUAAGUAAUGUGAAUUGCAGAAUUCAGUGAAUCAUCGAAUCUUUGAACGCACAUUGCGCCCCUUGGUAUUCCGAGGGGCAUGCCUGUUCGAGCGUCAUUACACCACUCAAGCUAUGCUUGGUAUUGGGUGCCGUCCUUAGUUGGGCGCGCCUUAAAGACCUCGGCGAGGCCUCACCGGCUUUAGGCGUAGUAGAAUUUAUUCGAACGUCUGUCAAAGGAGAGGACUUCUGCCGACUGAAACCUUUUAUUUUUCUAGGUUGACCUCGGAUCAGGUAGGGAUACCCGCUGAACUUAAGCAUAUCAAUAAGCGGAGGAAAAGAAACCAACAGGGAUUGCCCUAGUAACG
rnacentral:rRNA from 1 species